AGCACUCCUACGGGAGGCAGCAGUAGGGAAUUUUCCGCAAUGGACGAAAGUCUGACGGAGCAAUGCCGCGUGAGUGAUGAAGGUUUUCGAAUCGUAAAGCUUUGUUGUAAGGGAAGAAUAGCAGUAGUAGGAAAUGACUACUGUGUGACGGUACCUUACCAGAAAGCCACGGCUAACUACGUGCCAGCAGCCGCGGUAAUACGUAGGUGGCAAGCGUUAUCCGGAAUUAUUGGGCGUAAAGAGCUCGUAGGCGGUUUGUCGCGUCUGCUGUGAAAUCCCGAGGCUCAACCUCGGGUCUGCAGUGGGUACGGGCAGACUAGAGUGCGGUAGGGGAGAUUGGAAUUCCUGGUGUAGCGGUGGAAUGCGCAGAUAUCAGGAGGAACACCGAUGGCGAAGGCAGAUCUCUGGGCCGUAACUGACACUCAGAUGCGAAAGCGUGGGGAGCAAACAGGAUUAUAUACCCUGGUA
rnacentral:rRNA from 1 species